rnacentral:tRNA from 1 species
GGCUGCUGCGCCACGGGAGGCCGGCCCUGGGGCGGCUGCUGCGGGGUGUACGGGGCCUGCGGCUGCUGGUUCCAGACCUGCUGCUGCGG